rnacentral:rRNA from 1 species
CCGAAGCCGGUGCCUAACCCUUGUGGAGGGAGCCGUCGAAGGUGGGAUCGGCGAUUGGGACGAAGUCGUAACAAGGUAGCCGUACCGGAAGGUGCGGCUGGAUCACCUCCUUUCUAAGGAG